ncrna:Burkholderia phytofirmans PsJN C4 antisense RNA
UGCAAUGGGCGGGCCGUGAUGGGGAGACCUUUUGGGUCUGCUGGUUUGGUUUGGGCCAGUCUGUCAACCUUGUCACUGUGCCCGCUCACCACC